GUGCUCUCUUCAGCAGCACGUAUACUGAAAUUGAAAUGAUACAGAGAAGAUUAGCAUGGCCCUGUGCAAGGAUGGCACGCAAAUUCGUGAAGUGUUCCAUAUUUUU